GACGAACGCUGGCGGCAUGCCUAAUACAUGCAAGUCGAGCGGACUUUCAAGAAGCUUGCUUUUUGAAAGUUAGCGGCGGACGGGUGAGUAACACGUGGGCAACCUGCCUGCAAGACGGGGAUAACUCCGGGAAACCGGGGCUAAUACCGGAUAAUAUCUUCCUUCGCAUGAAGGAAGGUUGAAAGGCGGCGCAAGCUGCCGCUUGCAGAUGGGCCCGCGGCGCAUUAGCUAGUUGGUGAGGUAACGGCUCACCAAGGCGACGAUGCGUAGCCGACCUGAGAGGGUGAUCGGCCACACUGGGACUGAGACACGGCCCAGACUCCUACGGGAGGCAGCAGUAGGGAAUCUUCCGCAAUGGACGAAAGUCUGACGGAGCAACGCCGCGUGAGCGAAGAAGGUCUUCGGAUCGUAAAGCUCUGUUGUCAGGGAAGAACAAGUACCGUUCGAACAGGGCGGUACCUUGACGGUACCUGACCAGAAAGCCACGGCUAACUACGUG
rnacentral:rRNA from 1 species